AGCGAACGCUGGCGGCAGGCCUAACACAUGCAAGUCGAACGGAUCCUUCGGGAUUAGUGGCGGACGGGUGAGUAACACGUGGGAACGUGCCCUUUGGUUCGGAACAACUCAGGGAAACUUGAGCUAAUACCGGAUGUGCCCUUCGGGGGAAGGAUUUAUCGCCAUUGGAGCGGCCCGCGUCUGAUUAGCUAGUUGGUGAGGUAAAGGCUCACCAAGGCGACGAUCAGUAGCUGGUCUGAGAGGAUGAUCAGCCACAUUGGGACUGAGACACGGCCCAAACUCCUACGGGAGGCAGCAGUGGGGGAUCUUGCGCAAUGGGCGAAAGCCUGACGCAGCCAUGCCGCGUGAAUGAUGAAGGUCUUAGGAUUGCAAAAUUCUUUCACCGGGGACGAUAAUGACGGUACCCGGAGAAGAAGCCCCGGCUAACUUCGUGCCAGCAGCCGCAGUAA
rnacentral:rRNA from 1 species